rnacentral:rRNA from 1 species
UACGUAGGGUGCAAGCGUUAAUCGGAAUUACUGGGCGUAAAGCGUGCGCAGGCGGUUAUGUAAGACAGAUGUGAAAUGCCCGGGCUUAACCUGGGAACUGCAUUUGUGACUGCAUGGCUAGAGUUUGGCAGAGGGGGGUAGAAUUCCACGUGUAGCAGUGAAAUGCGUAGAUAUCUGGAGGAACACCGGUGGCGAAGGCGGCAUCCUGGACCAAUUCUGACGCUGAGGAGCGAAAGCCAGGGGAGCAAACGGG